rnacentral:lncRNA from 10 species
GCAAAUGGACUUUCCACUUGGCCAGUGCAGUCUUCUCUGCUCCUUACUGUACACGUGGCUGUCAAGGAGAAGAGAAGAAGGAGCUGCCAUUUUGAACAUGUCUAGUCCCAGGUAGCUUAUUCCUACUGGCACAGCUGCCGGCAUUCGCCUGCACAAGCUUCCAGCUUGCUUGUCUAUGUCUGCAGCUCGAUUUUACAGUCUGCUCUUUGUUAGAAAAGAAAAUGAUUUGGGGGCUGCUUUUCAUUAAAAGGAAAACCUUACCGAGGACUUCCGUACCCUCACUAUCUGCCUAAGUAAUUUCUUCUUAACAACUCCUGUAUCAGCGCCACUGCAACUCCAGCUUGGACAACAGGCUGGAGACCCUGUCUCCAAAAAUGAAAAAACAAAACAAGAGUCCAAUAUGGAAGUCAGUCAGGGGGCCUGAAUUCUUAGACUCAAAUGUGCUUCUGACAGACACGCUGGAGAGAACGUCUUUCCUUGACAGCGCCUGCCUCCUGUCAUUUCAUCCCAACACUUUGCCCAGCCCGGGAAAUCUGGAUUUUCUUUUUAAAGAAAGAUGUCUAGAGAGAAAAAUAGAAAAUGAACAGCCAAUAGAAAGUGCAACAGAGCUUGUUGAUUUGGUUCUGUCAGAUGCCCCAAGUGUUCGUGAAGCAGCUAUACUAAGUGACAUUCAAACGUUGGUAAUGAGGAGACAUCUGCAUAUACACUGGUUUUGAAACAUCAAGCACUGGAGAAGUUAUGAGCUGUCAAUCACUUUAGCUGUCCUCCACCCUGUGUUUAUUCAGAAAUAAUUUUCAAGGCUGCAGAAAGUGUUGUUACUAACUGAUGAGCAAGUUUGAACACUGAAAAUGAAGAAUGAUUGAUGUUCUUUUAGGUAAGCUGGAAAACUCUCCAUCCACUAGAGGCAGCCACAGCUCGGGAUGCUGAUAAAGUUCUGACACAGGGAGUGAGUGAUGAGUGGUGUGUAAAAGUUCUGACACAGGGAGUGAGUGAUGAGUGGUGUGUAACGUGCUGAAAACAGGAAGCUCUGACAACAAUGUGAAGAGGAACCUUCUGAACACAAAUUCUAUGGCUCCAAAUAAGCAAGUUAAUAGUCCUGAUAUCUUGACUUGAUCUACAGAAGAAACCCCACUCAGGAUAACUUUUACUUUUCUGGUGGAAGAGACAAUAAGAAUAAAGACUCACUAAACGGUAAUAAAAUCCUCUUUGACUUACUAAUUGGUUGGUAAUUUUGAAAUUUUCUAAUCUGAAUGUUUAACUCCAAAUAGUUUUCAUCCUGUCAUAUGUUACAGUAUUAACAGUUAUAGAAAAAGAACAGGAAUUAUUAGAAACAUUAAAACUAUUCAAAUCUAGGAAAUGUGGAUCUUAGGAUUUGUGUCAGGAAACCAACAACCUUAGGAUGUGCCCCACAGUUGGCUUUCCUGAACCGUGAUCCCAGAAUGCAAGAAGUCAACCCAAUACAAAUCCAUGCUUUCUGACAAUGGCAGAAAAUUUUUUGGCCAUUGUCCAUUGACUGACUCACAAGCUGUGACAAUGUCCCACCAUUACACUCCACCGACUCCCCCGCAAGGCUGUCACCUGUCUUUACCUGCAGCAGCUGCAUAUAUGCACACAUUUAAUAACACUUAGUGGGGGCAUGUUCUGUUCUAGAAACGGUGCCUGCUCCAAAGAUACGGUGGUGAACAAAAUAAAAAUGCUCCCUGUCUCUAUGGAACUCAGAGUCUAGCAGAAGACAAAGACACAAUGUGAAAUACACAUUUCAAUAAGUGCUAUGAAAGAUAGGUUGUACAGUGAUAUGAAAGGGAAUAACAAAGGGAUGCAAAAGAGUUAUGAAAGGCCUCUCUGAGGAAGUCAUGUUUAAGCUGAAAGGUGAAGGUUGCCUAUAAGAAGGUCAGGCAAAAGACAGGGUGUGUGAGUGGGGAAACAUUCUAGGCAGAGGUAACAGCAUAUGCAAGACCCCAUGGAAGAUUAGAAAAAGGAAACAGCACCAAGAUAUGACCUAUUUUCCUUAGAUGACUGAGGGAAUUCAAAUUCAAUGAAUACCUUCUUUAUCUUAAAAGCUAAAGCCUUUACAUUUAUUAUAAAUAGGGAUUUCUAUAAAUCCUGUCAACUCCCACUUAUCCUGUAUUCUCAAUCCUGUAUUUAUUCACCAACAUCUUUGAGCUGUUUUCUCUGGCCUUAUCCUUAUUCUUUCUAAGGUAUAUCUAUCUUUUUUAGCAACCCCGAUAAUUAGAUAGGAUAAUCUGUUGAGAUAUUAAUUUGUGAUUUGUAUUUCUGAUUUGUGCUAUAGAAGACUUGAAGGAUUAGAAGGGACUUUCCUCCUACUUCCUUCACUGGAAAGACAACCAGGCCUUUAUCUUCUAAGAUCUUUUUUCUAUUUUCAAGCAAUUAACAGUUUAUUUUUGUAUCAGAACAUCCUGUCCCAUCCCUCAAGAUCUGUUGCGCAAAAUGUAGGCCCAUCGGGAGGAAGAAAGUUGAGGAGAGGGGUGAUUUGCCUUGCUGGCAACUUAUUGACAUGUCUUUGCCAUGCUCCUACUCAGGAAAUUAGAUCCCAUGACCUAUAAAAUUCAGUCAAAACUGCAGCUAAACUCACACCCUCUGCUAUAUUGGACCUGAAGUCUCUGCAGCCAUUCUCCUCUAUUGCCACAUUCAUCCCCCGUACCAAGUCGUACCCCAUCAAUUCUGCCUGUCCCAUAAUUCAUCUCAAGCUUAUUUUCUUCUAUGCUGUUUCCCUUUCCCACUUUUUAAUUUCACCCUUAUUUUAAUCUCUCAUUUUCCUGUUGUUUCAUAGUGAAACCACUUUGCAAAAUUAUAACUGAGGAAACUAUGACAGUGAAAGACAUCAGACCUAACUGAUUCCAUCUUGCUUCUAACGUUUAAGCUGUCCUUGUUCUUUCCUGGGCAUAGGCCAAACUAACUUUGGGAAGGAAUUCAGUUCAUGGUUUGACUCUGAAACAAAUUGGAACCAGCCCUUUCCUGAAAAACCCCGUUUCUUCCUUGGAGACCAGUCUGCCUUUGCAGGACUAACAACUUAGCUACAACAUUAGAAAUCACAGUUUAGGGGUCAUGCAGUCUCUGGUUCCAAGAGUUUGAACCUCCCGAAAUUGCUCCUGGGGAUAAUAUCGGUAUUGUGAAACCUAAGAUCAGUGCUUAAGACCCUGCACUGGAUGGAUCAGCUGACACCACCCAGAGUGGUAAUCUGGCUCAACCAGUUCUGCCAUCCCUCCCAAGAACAGAAAACAGCAAAAAACAAACAAACAAACAAACAAACAAAAAAAACUCACUUCGACUCCCACUGCCCCCCAUGAUUCCAUCUCCAACCUGACCAAUCAGCACUCCCCACUUCCCAAGCCCCUACCUGCCAAAUUAUCUUUAAAAACACUUAUCAUCAAAUGGCUCAGGGAGAAUGAUUUGAGUAAUAAUAAAACUCUGGUCUCCCGCACAGCUGGCUCUUCCUGAUUUACUCUUUCUCCAUUGCAAUUCCCCUGUCUUGAUAAAUCGGCUCUGUCUAGGCUGCGGGCAAGGUGAACCCAUUGG